GUAACAAGGUCUCCGUUGGUGAACCAGCGGAGGGAUCAUUACUGAGUACUACACUCUCUACCCUUUGUGAACUAUUAUACCUGUUGCUUCGGCGGCGCCCGCAAGGGUGCCCGCCGGUCUCAUCAGAAUCUCUGUUUUCGAACCCGACGAUACUUCUGAGUGUUCUUAGCGAACUGUCAAAACUUUUAACAACGGAUCUCUUGGCUCCAGCAUCGAUGAAGAACGCAGCGAAACGCGAUAUGUAAUGUGAAUUGCAGAAUUCAGUGAAUCAUCGAAUCUUUGAACGCACAUGGCGCCUUCCAGUAUCCUGGGAGGCAUGCCUGUCCGAGCGUCGUUUCAACCCUCGAGCCCCUGUGGCCCGGCGUUGGGGAUCUGCCACGGCAGGCCCCUAAAACCAGUGGCGGACCCGAAGGGCCCUCUCCUUUGCGCAGUAGCAUUCGCCUCGCAUCGGGAGUCCUCGGCGUCCUGCCUCUAAACCCCCCACAAGCCCGCCUCGGCGGCACCAAGGUUGACCUCGGAUCAGGUAGGAAUACCCGCUGAACUUAAGC
rnacentral:misc_RNA from 1 species